GCUGAGCGUUUCUGAAGAGAUGUUGGGUUUCUGAACGUCCGACGUGCAAACUUGCUCCAAACUUUUUUUAAAUUUUUAUCAUAGCCUUCCCAUACCAUAUCAAGGACGGUGGACAAGUUUAGUGGUUUUCCGAGUUCAUUUGAUUUUUUUUAUAAUUAAAAAACCCCGCGCACGCAAGUUGGAAGCGUUGCCCCGCGAGCACGCUCAUCGAGAUUUGGUGCCAGGACAUGGAUUUGACCUAAUUGCAUCCACACAAGCAAGAAUAGCAAUGUUGUAACCAUAGGACACUAUUAUUCCAUGCACCUGCAGUUCAAAUCGAAAUCGUCGGAAAAAAUGCAACGAGUCGCAAUUAAAUGAAAAAAUAUAGAAAAAAAUUUCAAAGUGCACCAAACCUUGGCAAGUUACUAAAGAUAGGGUACUAAAGCUCCACAAAAAAUUUGGGAGCAAAACUCAAAAAAAAA
rnacentral:lncRNA from 1 species